rnacentral:rRNA from 1 species
AUUGAACGCUGGCGGCAGGCCUAACACAUGCGAGUCGAGCGGAUGAAGGGAGCUUGCUCCUGGAUUCAGCGGCGGACGGGUGAGUAAUGCCUAGGAAUCUGCCUGGUAGUGGGGGAUAACGUCCGGAAACGGGCGCUAAUACCGCAUACGUCCUGAGGGAGAAAGUGGGGGAUCUUCGGACCUCACGCUAUCAGAUGAGCCUAGGUCGGAUUAGCUAGUUGGUGGGGUAAAGGCCUACCAAGGCGACGAUCCGUAACUGGUCUGAGAGGAUGAUCAGUCACGCUGGAACUGAGACACGGUCCAGACUCCUACGGGAGGCAGCAGUGGGGAAUAUUGGACAAUGGGCGAAAGCCUGAUCCAGCCAUGCCGCGUGUGUGAAGAAGGUCUUCGGAUUGUAAAGCACUUUAAGUUGGGAGGAAGGGCAGUAAGUUAAUACCUUGCUGUUUUGACGUUACCAACAGAAUAAGCACCGGCUAACUUCGUG